GGUUUGAUCAUGGCUCAGAUUGAACGCUGGCGAGAUGCUUUACACACAUGCAAGUCGAACGGCAGCACGGACUUCGGUCUGGUGGCGAGUAAGGAACGGGCGAGUAAAUGUAUCGGAACGUGCCUAGUAUACGGGGGAUAACUACGCGAAAGCGGGUAGCUAAUACCGCAUACGCCCUUCGGGGGAAAGCGCGGGUAUCUUCGGGCCUCGCACCAUUAGGAGCGGCCGAUAUCGAUUAGCUGAAGUUGCGGCAACGGUCACCAAGGCGAUGAUCCGUAGCUGGUUUGAGAGGACGACCAGCCACACUGGGACUGAGACACGGCCCACAGACUCCUACGGGAGGCAGCAGUGGGGAACGGACAAUGGGGGAAACCCUGAUCCAGCCAUCCCGCGUGUGCGAUGAAGGCCUUCGGGUUGUAAAGCACUUUUGGCAGGAAAGAAACGGCACGGGAUAAUACCCCGUGCAACUGACGGUACCUGCAGAAUAAGCACCGGCUAACUACGUGCCAGCAGCCGCGGUAAUACGUAGGGGUGCAAGCGUUAACGGGAAUUACCGGGCGUAGCAGCAGGCGGUUCGGAAAGAAAGAUGUGAAAUCCCAGAGCUUAACUUUGGAACUGCGUUUUUAACUACCGAGCUGGUGUCAGAGGGAGGUGGAAUUCACGCAGAGAAAGAACAGUGCAGGCGCAGAGGAACACCGAUGGCGAAGGCAGCCUCCCCGGGAUAACGACGCUCAUGCACGUGAAAGCGUAAAGCGAACAGGAUUAGAUAAUUCAGUAGUCCACGCCCUGAAACGGAUGUCAACUAGCUGUUGGGGCCUCGUCCCUGUAGCGCAGCUAAACGCAGGAAGCGACUCCGCCUCGGGGAGUAAUACGGUCGCAAGAUUAAAACUCAAAGGAAUUGGACGGGGACCCGCACAAGCGGUGGAUGUGAUGUGGAUUAAUUCGAUGCAACGCGAAAAACCUUACCUACCCUUGACAUGUCUGGAAUCCCGAAGAGAUUUGGGAGUGCUCGCAAGAGAACCGGAACACAGGUGCUGCAUGGCUGUCGUCAGUCGUGUCGAGAUGUUGGGUUAAGUCCCGCAAUUGAGCAACCCAGCCGUUAUUACGAAAGGGCACUCUAAUGAGACUGCCGGUGACAAACCGGGAGGAAGGGAUGACGUCAAGUCCUCAUGGCUCUUAUGGGUAGGGCUUUCACACGUCAUACAAUGGUCGGGACAGUGGUCGCCAACCUGCGAGGGGGAGCCAAUCCUGGUGAAACCAUCGUAGUCCGGAUCGCAGUCUGCACCGACUGCGUGAAGUCGGAAUCGCUAGUAAUCGCGGAUCAGCAUCGUGGUGAAUACGUUCCCGGGUCUUGUACACACCGCCCGUCACACCAUGGGAGUGGGUUUUACCAGAAGUAGUUAGCCUAACCGUAUGAGGGCGAUUACCACGGUAGGAUUCAUGACUGGGGUGAAGUCGUAACAAGGUA
rnacentral:rRNA from 1 species